GCGUUCUCGCUCGUGACGAAAUUUUAACCCGACAGCUCGCGCACGGCAAGUCGAACACGUGCGCGCGAGCUGCGCGAUCUACGGGGUGUUGCGAUCGCGCACGUUUUGCAGCAGUGCGAUUUUCGCGACGUUCGCUAGCCGCAUUUCUCUCUCCUGUCGGGAUAUUGCACACACAUCCUCGGACUCGUCCUCUGAACCUUCACCAAGACUUACUGAAAAAAAACAGAAAUUUUUCAAGGAAACAAAGAAAAAAAUCUGAUCUAAUUCAAAGGAGAAGAGAAGACAGGAGACAAAAGAUAAGACGGAUCCGGAAAUUCGGUGCUUUUAAUUCUUGGACAAUCUUCUUGAAUCUCCAUUUGAUCAUCGCCGGAAGAACACCUUGCACGCUCAGCGUGUUCAAUCGGAUGCGGAUCAUCCAGUAUUUCGAUACGUGACAUUUGAUAGU